rnacentral:rRNA from 1 species
GUGGGGAAUAUUGCACAAUGGGCGAAAGCCUGAUGCAGCAACGCCGCGUGAGGGACGACGGCCUUCGGGUUGUAAACCUCUUUUAGUAGGGAAGAAGCGAAAGUGACGGUACCUGCAGAAAAAGCACCGGCUAACUACGUGCCAGCAGCCGCGGUAAUACGUAGGGUGCAAGCGUUAUCCGGAAUUAUUGGGCGUAAAGAGCUCGUAGGCGGGCUGUCGCGUCUGCUGUGAAAACUGGAGGCUCAACCUCCAGCCUGCAGUGGGUACGGGCAGACUAGAGUGCGGUGAGGGAGAUUGGAAUUCCUGGUGUAGCGGUGGAAUGCGCAGAUAUCAGGAGGAACCCCGAUGGCGAAGGCAGAUCUCUGGGCCGUAACUGACGCUGAGGAGCGAAAGCGUGGGGAGCGAACAGGAUUAGAUACCCUAGUAGUCC